GCGGAGGCCCCUCCACGAGUCACAAGGCAGACUUUCCAUUGGCGUCAAACGUACGUGGAUGCUGGAUCUGGGACGGACAGGAGCCAAGAGGGGAGAAGCUAGUUUUAGAAAAUUCACAUGCCUGGGGGUCACAGAGGGCAGAGCCCCAAGGGCACCGCAUCCCCAUGGCAGGGGUGGGAGUGGCCCUUGGGGCAUAGACCCAGUAUGUGUGCACACUCUCCCUCUCUGUCACUCCCACAUAUGCACAUGCAAACACACGCAAACACAAACACACAUGCACACAAACACGCACAAGGAAACACACGCACACAUGCACACACAAGCACACACUCAUGCACACACGCACACACAAGCAAACACACGCACACACAUGCAAACACACACACCUCAUAUCUCUGUCUACAGUGGAGACCAAACAGACCUCCCCAGGGAGGUGAGACCUCCCACAUGGAUGGCAGGAGACAGGAGUCCGAGAUUCCUGGGUCUGGAGUGCCUACGUGUGUACCCCACACUGCACAGUGUACGAUGCCUGCUAUGCUCCUGGGACAGCAUGUGGGGUGGGGCCUCCCAGGCAUGAGAGAUGGAAGAUACUCCAGUGGGCAUGUGAGGCCCAGAAAGCAAGCGCGCUGCUCUGAGUGAUGUCAUUGUGUCUACAGCGCUGUCGGGCCCUGGUGAUCUUCGCCUUCCCAGACAGUUUCCUCUUCUCUUCGUCACAAAACCCUGUUUGUUUUGUUUAAGAAAACCCGCCUGCUGACUCUUACGUAGUGUCAUGUAUUUUGUUGUCUGUGUUUCUAGGGCUGCCGCCAACCUCGGGGUGAUCACGUGACCCCCAAGGCUAGCCAGCAAGAGGACCUCAUUCCUCCACCACAGACAGCAGGACAGGGGUGGGCAUGGGGCCCGAGCCCACACAAAGCCCUGCCUGGGAUUUUGCUGAAGACAGAAGCACCCUGACCCUCCAAGUUGGGAGUUUCGAGGACCCCCUGAACUGAGAGCUCCCGGGCCGUCUUUCCCUGAGAAUGAAGCCAACACAGGCAGGAUUGAGCUUAGAGUCUGAAUUCGAUGGUGCCUAGUGACAGCCUCUGAACUCCUGGACCCAGCUACACCUGAAGCCAUUCUACCCCACAUUUUCUAGGACUUUCCUGUAUGACUGCAUGGCUAAUAGCACUUCUCCUCGACACCGGUGCUGUUCUCGGAAUCCUAUCUAGAGCUUACAGGGAGACAAUAGUGAGCCCCUAAAAGAUGCAUCCACCCAGAACCUAUAAAUGUGACUGAAUUUGGAAAAAAGAUCUGUGCAGAUGUCAUUAAGGACCUUCUGGUGAGGUCAUCCUGAAUUGGAGCGGGCCCGGAUCCAAUGACAGUGUUCUUAGAAGAGAGGAGGAGAAGAUACACACAGGGAGGAGUCAUGUGAAGAUGGAGGCAGAGGCCACCUGGAGCCACCAGGAGCUGGAAUAAGCAACGGGUUCUCCCUGGGAGGCCUCAGAGGAAGCGUGGUGCAGCUGCCACUGUGACUUUGGACUUCUGGCCCCAGCACUGUGAGAGGAUAGGUUUUAAGCCAGGCGGUUUGUGGUGCUUGGUUAUGGCAGCCCCAGGCACUCAUGCACCUCUCCAGAGGUGCUGCUGCCCAGGGAGUGUUCUGCACGCUGCACCUGGCUUCCUGCUUUCAGCAGUAAUUUGUGCAUUGCUGCACAUAAAGCCACCUCCCGCUUUUUAACAGCUGCCUGACACGAAUCCCACUGUCUGGGUGUAGCAUGAUUUAUUUCUCCAGACUCUUAUCCGGGCAUGUUGGAGCAGUUUCCAGCUUUUGACAACUUGCAGGUAAAGCUGUGUCAGUAGCUUUGUGCAUAUGUUAUUUAGCACUUGUGUGCACCUAUCUGCAGAGCUGCUGGGUGUGUGCACUCUACGUUUCUAUACCUAUUUCAAAGAAGGCAUCACAAGUUGCUCACACCAGUAAUCGGUUAGGAGCCUCUCUCCUACUCCUCACCGACAGAGGGUUCUCAUGCUUUUGUCUUUGGCUGUCGGAUAGAUUAAAAACAGUCUUACAUUCUGAUUUUAACUUGCAUUCUUUCUUUUUUCCCAUUAGUGCGUGUAUCUUUCCAUAUGUUUAACAGCCUUCACAUUUCUGUUUUGUGAACUGUUUUUGUACUUCGCCCAUUUUCUAUCACUUCGUUGGUCUUCAUUGCAUUGAUUUCUAGAACUUCUUUAUGUAUGAACCAAAUGAAGCUUUUCCUGUGCCUUGCAUUGCAGAUACUAU